CGUAGGGUGCGAGCGUUAAUCGGAAUUACUGGGCGUAAAGCGUGCGCAGGCGGUUUAGUAAGACAGGCGUGAAAUCCCCGGGCUCAACCUGGGAACUGCGCUUGUGACUGCUAAGCUAGAGUACGGCAGAGGGGGGUGGAAUUCCACGUGUAGCAGUGAAAUGCGUAGAGAUGUGGAGGAACACCAAUGGCGAAGGCAGCCCCCUGGGUCGAUACUGACGCUCAUGCACGAAAGCGUGGGUAGCAAACAGGAUUAGAUACCCUGGUAGUCCACGCCCUAAACGAUGUCAACUAGGUGUUGGGAGGGUAAAACCUUUUAGUACCGGAGCUAACGCGUGAAGUUGACCGCCUGGGGAGUACGGCCGCAAGGUUU
rnacentral:rRNA from 1 species